rnacentral:rRNA from 1 species
UAGGAUUCCUCAGUAUGGCGAAUGACNGGGAUGAGCUCAGUAUGGAAAUUGGGGCCUGUGGCCUUGAAUUGUAGUCUGGAGAUGUACCACCAACUGGGGCGCAGAUGUAAGCCUCUUGGAAAAGAGCAUCAAUGAGGGUGAGAGUCCCGCUUGGCAUCUGCAGUCCCCAGUGCACGGUGUACCUUCUAAGAGUCACGUUCCUCGGGAUUGGAGCGCAAAUCGGGUGGUAAGUUUCAUCUAAAGCUAAAUAUAGUUUCGAGACCGAUAGCAAACAAGUACCAUGAGGGAAAGGUGAAAAGGACUUUGAAAAGAGAGUUAAAAGUGCCUGAAAUUGCUGAAAGGGAAGCGAAUGGAACCAGCGUAACUUGGCGAGAUUGCUGCGUGUCAAUGUGAUUGCUUGCUGCUUCAACGUAAGUGUUGUAGUAAGUCUUGAACAGGACAUGCGCGGUGCUUCUUGCCUUGUGUGUCACCGUCAGUUCGCAACUGGGGAAAACUUCAGGGACAUGGUAGCCUGUCUCCGGGUGGGUGAACGUGUUUGCUGGAACUCAUUUGCGGAUUGCUUGGUGACUAAAUGGUUCCAUCUGACCCGUCUUGAAACACGGACCAAGGAGUCUAACAUAUGUGCAAGUUCACGGGUGUUAAACCUGCUUGCGUAAUGAAAGUGACUGCUGGGAUUUUUGCACCAGCAACCGACCAAUCAAUUGAGAGAGGUUUGAGUAUGAGCAUAUCUGUUAGGACCCGAAAGAUGGUGAACUAUGCCUGUGAAGGGCAAACUCAGGGGAAACUCUGAUGGAGGCUCGUAGCGGUACUGACNG